GGAGGGGGAGGGAGGGGGUGGAGGUGAUGGCAGAGAUAGGAGGUGGGGGUGGAGGUGAGCAGAGGGUCCUAGUUUGAGGGAAGGAGGGAGUGGGUGUGGGUCAGGAGCCCAGGUGAACACUUGCCCGGCAGGGGAGCGGUGUGUUGCCUUCAUUCCACAGCUGUUCUCUCCCGUUUUCUCAUUCUGCACCUUUUACUUCCUGCGUUGGUUAGAGAGGGUCAGAACUCUGUUCCUGUGCCGGGUUUGGGCAGCGGCCUUUGGGCAGGGAAUUUGCCUGUGUCGGGUCAGUAACCAAACAUUGUUCUGGUUGGUGCCAGGCUCUGGGGUGAGGUGUUCUCUCACUCUGUUCCUCUCGCGGCCACCCCCGGAGGUGGGGGUUGUUGUUCCAUUGUAUAGGUGAGGAAACUGAGCCCUUGGAGUGAGCCACCUCUCCCUGGACACUCUGAGGUUUGCUUGUUUGUUUUCAAAGGGCCUGUUAAAAAGCAGUUUACUGUAUUAAAUCUUGUAUUCCCUUCUACGGUCCUCGGGGUAGCUGAGCGCUGCCUGUCUGGGGGUAAUACUUUACCAUAAGUGUCACUCAGGUGGGAGAUGAGGUUUGAAGGUCUGAAGCUUUCUCCCUUCUCGCUGUUCUUUACUGGCUUCCCUGGGUGUUGGUGUCAGGCCUCCCUGCUCAUCGCACCCCUAAGGACAAAAGGAGAAGACAUCCUUGUUCUGUUUGUGUCAAGAGACUCAGACUGUGUCCCUGCGAGCUGGUGCCUGUUCAUCCAAAGUGAGCCAGGGGCUGCUGCUGCCAGCACCUCCCCAGCAAGGUCCAAGGUGCCCCUGUGUGGGGGCCGGCGUGGCUAAUAGCUUCUGCUGAGUGCACUCACUCCCACUGUUGUGCCUCUCAGUGAGGACCAGUGCUGUCCUCCUACAGAGGACACUGAAGCUGAGGGGACUUAAGGCCCCGUAUGUGGGGCGAGCAUUUAUGCCCGGGCAGGACACACCUCUCCACUGGACACAUGGUUCUCUUUAAUGUCAUCGUACCCCUGAUAUCCAUGGGUCCUGUCCCUCCACUUUAUAUGUGAGGAAAUUGAGGAUCAGCAAAGUGAAGUGAGUGUGCAGAACUCCCUGCCUAGUAAGUGGUGUGGUUGGAGCUAGACUAGGAUUGGCUGAUUCUGACAUCUGCCUAGACUUUGGACACAAUUUAGUGGCCCAGCCCCUGACUGAGAUCAGAUCACUCGAACAAUCCAAGGAGCACAUUGCCAGGGCAGAGCAUCUGUGCACAGCAGGGAAAGAGCAUCAGACAUGAAGAGUCUUCUAGUGCUGCAGGUGAAGAUGGGCACCCAGGUGCCUUUCCCUCCCUCUCCUCUACCUGUGACAACAAAUACAGAUGUGGUGACUCAUUAAUUCCCUUUGCUGCUGGAAAUUUUCCACCCAUGUUCCCUGGUGGACCAGUGUGCUGGAUGCAGGCAAGACAGCCCUGAGAUGGGAGAGGAAGCUGAGACUCCCUGUCACAGAUGAUGCCAGCUGCACACUAGCCCCGCUGGCCACCCUCUAGCAGGGUUCAGAGACAUCUUUCUACAGCCCCAAUACAAACAUCUCAGUGCCCUCUCUACUAUCCUUGUUACAUCCAAGCUCAGUGUGCCAUUCGCAACUCACAGUGGCUGAUGCCAUUGGGAAUGGUGGAACACCAUGAGAACCCUCUCCUCCAUAGAAGCAAUGACAGCGUUGGAGAAAAUGGUCUGAAUCAACAUUGUUAGAACAUUGCAAAUUAACCAAAGUCUAGCAGGAAUCCGGGAAUGUUCAUUUAAGAAAAACAGCAAAAUCUUGGUAAGAACAGUGAGCUUGGUGCAAUUUUAACUUGCUCUAUUCCAUCCUCCCAUCUCCCAGUUCACAAAAGGUUUGAAAGCCAACAGCUGCCAUCAUGAUGAAAACCUGUAGCCUGGCAGCGUCUGGCAGGGGCAGAACUUGGCUGGCAGUCUUUCAAAACCCCAUUCACAGAAAAUUAUUUGACCGUCUGGAAAUUCACUGGAAAACACCACUGAUGGGCUUACCUUUAUCUGAGCUGACUCACAUUCACAAACAAACAGCAAACCCUGAGAUGGGGUAGGGGAAUGAUUUUCAGAGUUGCCACAGUAUGUUAUCCAGUUUUUAAUAAAAAUACGAGACAUGCAAAAAAACACGAAUGCGUGGCUUACACAGGAAUAAAAAAAAAAAGGCAGUGAAUAGAAACUAUCCCAGAGGAAGCCCAGACAUUGAACUUAUUUGAUAAAACCUUUAAAAUCAGCUACUUUAAAUAUGCUCAAAGAACGAACAAUGUCAAAAAAGCUAAAGGAAAGUAUCAGAAUAAUUCCUCAUCAAAGAAGGAAUACCAAUAAAGAGAUAGAAAUUAUUUUUAACAAUAAACAAGUCAAGAUGGUGGAGGAUGUAGCUCAGUAGCAGAGUGCGUGCUUAGCAUGCACAGGGUUCUGGGCUGAAUCCUCAGUGCCACCGUUAAAAUAAAUGAAUAAAUAAGUAAGUAAGCCUCACUCCCUCCACAAAAAUCCAACCUAAUAGAAAUUCCAAAUUUGAAAAACAAAAUAACUGAAAUGAAAAAUUCACCUGGGGGCUUAACAGCAGAUUUGAGGCUGAAGAAAGAAUCAGUGAAUUUCAAGGUAGUUCAAUUAGUUUACCCAGUCUGACGAACAGAAUGAAAAAAGGACAAAGAUAGAGGAACAGAGCCUCAGAGGCUUGAGGGAGACCAUCAAAAAUAGCAACACACUCAUGAUGAGAAUCUCAGAAAAGAGGAAAGAAAAAGGGGCAGAAGAAGUAUUUGAAAAAGCAAUGGCUAAAAAUAUCCCAAAUUUGAUGAAAUACACUAACCUAAAUAACAAAGAAUCUCAAUUAGGAUAAACUCAAAAAAUCCACACCUAGACACAGCAAAAUGAAACUCUCAAGAGCCAAAGACAAGGAGAGAAUCUUGAAAGCAGGAAGAGGGAAGUAACUUGUUACACAGAACCUUAAUAAAGGUUUUAGGAUCUGUCUCAUCAGAAAUUAAUGGAGGCCACAGGACAAUGCGAUGGCAUAUUCAAAGGCUGAACUAAAAACACAAGAAUUGUAUCGAGCCAAAACUGCAGCUGUUCCCUCUGCCUAGACCCGCUUUCUCCCAGUGUCUUCAUGGCUUCCCCCCAUUCGGGUCUCAAGUGUCCCCUAACCUGUUCUAGUUAACAUUGCUCAUGGCUCCAUACUGAUCGUCAUUGUUUCAUUUUUCUCCAUAGUCACACAUGUCACCCUUGAAAUACCUCCCCCGACUAGAAUGGAAGCUUCUGGAGGGCAGUGAUGUUUGACUCUUGCCUUCACUGCUGAAGACCCAAGCCCCUGGAGCACUACCUAGCACAGAUACCCUUCAGUAAAUAUUUGUUGCAUUAGAACACUUGCUAGUUACUAUAAAGAAGCAAUGGUUGCGCUCUUACUAGGUCCAGGGUAUUAUUCUAAGUGCUUUGUUAAUCCAUGUACCCCUCACAACCUAUGAGAUGGACUCCAGUCUUGUUCCCAUUUUGCAGAUGGAAGGACUGACACAUGAAGGUGUUGGCUAAGUUGCUCAUGGUCCUGUUGCUGUACAUGGGGGAGCCGGACAGUCUGACUGGAGUCCAGGCUCUCACUGCUGUUCCCCUCCUGCCUUUCCCGGGCUGACGCUCAGGAACCCCCUCAUCCUGGAGACUGUGCCCUGCUGCUUAUUACUUGGACCCGUGUUUCAGCCACUCUGGAUCUCUUAGCUUUUUAUAUGAUUAUAUGGUUUCACACUCAUCUUAGUUUCCCAGGUGCUAUUUGCACUUCUGAAUCAACCCGCUCUUCCUUUCUUCUUCAGUUUUUCCCUCCUUCCUUCCCUGUUGGUCUGGAUAAAUUCCUGGGUGGGCUCCAGACCCUGCUCCAGCCUGGCUGCAUCAGCCAAGUGGGUGUUGUGCCUCCCUGCAGAAAUCUGGGCUUCCCGUAUCAUCGCUUCCCUGUGCUCCAUCCCUCCCUGCUCGGAGCCGCCUUCUCCGGAUGUUGAGCUCCUGAGGACAGGGACCUGGCGUGUAAGAGGUCCUGCACACGUGCUUGCCUGUGUGCAUGGAGGAUGUCAGGGUGCUUCAGCGGGAGGCUGAGGAGGACAGACAGGGCCAGCGCUGGGGGGCUUUCCUAGCAUGGGGGUUGGCAGUGCUCAGUCCGUGUUCGUGAAACGCCAUGACUGGGCAGAGGCUGAGAAGACAGUGGGUGCAGAAAGGCAUGUGAACGCAUGGUUAGUUAUAGAGUAGAGAAGGA